rnacentral:rRNA from 1 species
UACAGAGGUGGCGAGCGUUAUUCGGAAUUAUUGGGCGUAAAGAGCUCGUAGGCGGUUUGUCGCGUCUGCUGUGAAAACUCGGGGCUUAACCCCGGGCCUGCAGUGGGUACGGGCAGACUAGAGUGCGGUAGGGGAGACUGGAAUUCCUGGUGUAGCGGUGAAAUGCGCAGAUAUCAGGAGGAACACCGGUGGCGAAGGCGGGUCUCUGGGCCGUAACUGACGCUGAGGAGCGAAAGCGUGGGGAGCGAACAGG